AAGUCGUAACAAGGUUUCCGUAGGUGAACCUGCGGAAGGAUCAUUAACAAAGCGUAGGACUUCCCCAGUCACUUUAAAGUCAAUAGGGCAAAGAGAAAUCUAGCUCUAUUGAUGGCUGGAAGGAAGUCUUUCACUUAUCAACCACUUGUGAACAUACCAACCAUAUUACCGAAGACUGAUUUAACGAUUGGUGUUUAAAGACACUAGUAAUCAAAAAACAACUUUUGGCAACGGAUCUCUUGGCUCUC
rnacentral:misc_RNA from 1 species